rnacentral:rRNA from 1 species
CCGAGUCUCGGUAAUCUAAGCUUCAGACGAACGUUUGGCCCCUUAGAGAGGGACCAAUGGGAGGAACUAUUAAGUUCUUCACACGCCUUCCUUGGACCAGGAUACCAGGAGUUGGCACCUAGAGCCAAAUGGCCAGUUAUCCUCUCGGUCACUUUAAUUAUAGAACCCUCUUGUGGCUACACCAGGACCAAAAAAAUUGAACCUCCUUUGGGAGAUCAAAUUGCCUCUCAAAAUUCCGAUUUCCUUUGGCAAUUGGUUCAUCAUCGUCUACCCUCAGGCAUUGAGGUGUUUAAGUGGAAUGGCUCGGGUGAUGGCCAAUGUCCCUUUUGUGAAGCCCUCGAAGAUUCGAACCACAUCUUAUUCUCAUGCCCCUCAGUUCGGUUUCUAUGCAGCUGUUUGCGCGAGAUAGUGGGUCACAGGUGA